CUACGGGAGGCAGCAGGCGCGAAACCUCUUCAAUGCACGACAGUGUGAAAGGGGGAUCCUACGUGCUUAUGCUCAGCAUAGGCUUUUGCAUAGUGUAAAUAACUAUGCGAAUAAGGGGUGGGAAAGACCGGUGCCAGCAGCCGCGGUAACACCGGCGCCCCAAGUGGCAAUCAGAUUUAUUGGGCCUAAAGCGUUCGUAGCCUGAUUGAUAAAUUUCUUGUGAAAUUACUCGGCUUAACCGAGUAGCGUGCAGGAAAGACUGUCUAUCUAGGGACCGGGAGGAGUUUGGAGUAUUCUGAGGGGAGCGGUAAAAUGUAAUAAUCCUUGGAAGACUACCUGUGGCGAAGGCGCCAAACUAGAACGGAUCCGACGGUGAGGGACGAAGGCUAGGGGAGCAAACCGGAUUAGAUACCCUUGUAGUC
rnacentral:rRNA from 1 species